UUUAAAAAAUUUAAAAAAUAAAAAUAAAGUCAUGAUAGAUACAUAGAAGUUCUCAUCUUUUUUCUCCUGACCUCUACUUAAGAAUACUUAGGAUCUUGUCACAUUCCAAUGGCACUUAGAAAAACUAAACAGAACAUGUGAGUCAUUGUACAGAAAUUAACCAGACAGCACUGAGAUGAGCAGGCCUCUGAGUAGAGGGACAUGAAGGCACUGAGAACAUGAUGGUCAUAGCAGUCAUACCAAGUAGUGCUCCAGACCAUGUAUUGAGUAAUCACCAUGCUUUAGGUACUCUGAGUUUAUUAUUGUCAUUUGCCUCUCAUCCUGAUCAAGCCCAUUUUACAGAUGAGAAACUGAGCUUCAAAGUUCAGUUAGCUCAUCUGUGUUCAUGCAGCGAGCUAGCCACACAGACAGCUUCUACCAGCUCCAAAGCACACACCCAUGUGUCUACGUUAAAUGUCUAAGAAUUAGGAUGAAUUUAUUCAAUAAGAGAGCAUUGUCAUGCCCCCAUGAGUCAGCUAGUCUUCAAGGUACAGGGGAUGCAGCGAUGAAAAACUGGCAAAAUUAUUUUCUCAGAAGGUCACCUUCCACGGGGCCAUUGUCACUGAGUACUUGCUUAUGUGAUGUGACACCUACGGUGCUAAAAAGUCACAGGUUUUAACUCUUUUCUCACCAAGGAGACCCUUGUGCUUUGUUACCAAGGUGCCCAGGUCAUCUUCAGCCAUGAUCUGUAUUUCUAGCAGAGGGGCUGGAAAGUCUGACACAUGUCAUACUUUGUUAUCUCUUAAAAUUUUCAGUCUUUAGGUCAGUAAUUCUCAAAGGAUGAUCUUGGGGCCAACUGCUGGUGACACUUACCUGUCAUAAUGAAGAUAUCAGAGUCCCAACUCAAAAGUUCUAUAUUAAAAUUGCCAGAAGUGAGAUCUGGGAAUCUAUUUGAAAGUAGAUUUCCCAUGAGCGUGAUCUCCACUGACUUGGAGAAGCCUGGGUCUAGGCACAGGAGCAAGAGAUUUUUUUCCCUUAGUGACCUAAGGACCUCUCACUUUCUCCUAACUGCUGCCUGGUGUGUCUGGAUGAGCCAUCCUGGACUGGUGGUUUUAAGUCUUGGCAAUGCAUUAGAAGUACCGGGAAAGUUGCUACAUCUCUCCAAGCCCAGGCCACAGUCUACACCAAGUGAAUCAGAAUCCUGGAGAACAGGGUCAGGCAUUGACCCUUUUAACACCUCCCAAGUAAACUCCAUUGUGCACCAAAGGUCCAUUCCUCAGGUGAUCCGAAGCAUAUGAAUCAAUUCCUGCUCCACCGGUACAGCGGCAAUAGCAAUUCUUUUCCACCUUCUCUACAGAGAUGUGGUAAGGGGUGGUUGCCAGCAAAAGGCGGCCGUGUCUGCAGAGCAAAGGCAGCGGAAAGGAAAGAGCAGUCAGCGCUGUUACCUUAUUGAUAUCCCAGAGAACCAGUUUGCUUUUACGUUUGGCAAAUUCAAAGGCAGUGAGUCUCCCAAUUCCAUGUCCAGCUCCAGUGACGAGGACGAUUUCUCCGGUGACUGAUUUUUUCUUCUUAGGAAUGAAAAA